GGGGUUAUAGCUCAGUUGGUAGAGCACUACAAUGGCAUUGUAGGGGUCAGCGGUUCGAACCGCUUAACUCCA
rnacentral:tRNA from 1 species